GGAGAGGUGGCAGAGUGGUCGAUUGCACCGCACUCGAAAUGCGGCAUACUCGCAAGGGUAUCGGGGGUUCAAAUCCCUCCCUCUCCGCCA
rnacentral:tRNA from 4 species